rnacentral:rRNA from 1 species
GACGAACGCUGGCGGCGUGCUUAACACAUGCAAGUCGAACGGUAAGGCCCCAGCUUGCUGGGGUACACGAGUGGCGAACGGGUGAGUAACACGUGGGUGACCUGCCCCGCACUUCGGGAUAAGCCUGGGAAACUGGGUCUAAUACCGGAUAGGACCGCAUCGUGAGGGUGUGGUGGAAAGUUUUUUCGGUGUGGGAUGGGCCCGCGGCCUAUCAGCUUGUUGGUGGGGUAAUGGCCUACCAAGGCGGCGACGGGUAGCCGGCCUGAGAGGGUGGACGGCCACAUUGGGACUGAGACACGGCCCAGACUCCUACGGGAGGCAGCAGUGGGGAAUAUUGCACAAUGGGCGGAAGCCUGAUGCAGCGACGCCGCGUGGGGGAUGACGGCCUUCGGGUUGUAAACUCCUUUCACCAUCGACGAAGGUUUUCUGACGGUAGAUGGAGAAGAAGCACCGGCUAACUAC